AGGUCAGGACAGUGACCAACCUCAAGGUCACUAAAGGUCAGUUAACCUUUAAUAGUCGUCCAGGAGAGACGUGUUGCUCCUCCUCCUGCUGCCCCGCCGGCUUUACCGCUUCCUCACCCUCUUAAUACACCUAAAUAAUGUGUGGUAACUGAUGUACCAAGCUGUGUCUGCUGCAACAUUGAUCAACACAGCAACAUUAACCUGGGUUACUCCAGACUAAUAGUGGAUAUUGUAUGUUGCUGUAUCAACAUGUGGGGACCAAGACUGUUUCAACAUGUAACCAAAAAUACUGCUGAAACAAGUGUAAAGUCUUCAAGAGGAAACUGGACAAGUAUCUUCACCAGGUGCUGGAUCAACCAAGCUUUGAUGGAGUGGGUCAGUGGAGCACCAGGAGUAACAUCCUGGUGGAGGAGGCAAUCACCAGAUAAGCCUGACCCCAGGCUGGGCUCUGGCAGUAGAAAAACACUCAGAACUCAUCAGAGGUUAAGAAACUGUCCGUCUCCCCCCAAGGUAGUGACCCAAACAAAGAAGAAAUGCUUUUACCACCAGUCUUGCCAGAGAAGCGCUGAUACUACACUUCAUAAAUAGUAAUGUCUCCACCCAUCCUUUAGGGUGCAGGCGGCAGUGUGCGUCUUCCAGUGACGGCAACAGCAGCGGUGUGUGUCUAUGACAGGAACAAUGUUUUCAAGAUAUCUGGAAGGGCAGUCAAUUGUUGGCUACAAAUUUAUAAUUUUCUUAUAAAUAGUAUAU